GACGAACCGUGCGAACGUUGUUCGGAAUCACUGGGCUUAAAGGGCGCGUAGGCGGCUCGCGAGGUCGGGGGUGAAAUCCCGCAGCUUAACUGCGGAAGGGCCUCCGAUACCGGCGGGCUGGAGGAAGGUAGGGGUGCGCGGAACUUCUGGUGGAGCGGUGAAAUGCGUUGAUAUCAGAAGGAACGCCGGCGGCGAAAGCGGCGCACUGGACCUUUUCUGACGCUGAGGCGCGAAAGCUAGGGGAGCAAACGGG
rnacentral:rRNA from 1 species